rnacentral:rRNA from 1 species
UACGUAGGGUGCAAGCGUUUAUCCGGAAUUAUUGGGCGUAAAGAGCUCGUAGGCGGUUUGUCGCGUCUGCUGUGAAAACUGGAGGCUCAACCUCCAGCCUGCAGUGGGUACGGGCAGACUAGAGUGCGGUAGGGGGAGAUUGGAAUUCCUGGUGUAGCAGUGGAAUGCGCAGAUAUCAGGAGGAACACCGAUGGCGAAGGCAGAUCUCUGGGCCGUAACUGACGCUGAGGAGCGAAAAGCAUGGGGAGCGAACAGG